GAUGAACGCUGGCGGCGUGCCUAAUACAUGCAAGUCGAGCGAAAAGACGAGGAGCUUGCUCCUCUGACGUUAGCGGCGGACGGGUGAGUAACACGUGGAUAACCUACCUAUAAUUCUGGGAUAACUUCGGGAAACCGGAGCUAAUACCGUAUAAUAUAUUGAACCGCAUGGUUCAAUGGAAAAAGACGGCUUUUGUGUCACGUCUCGCUGGUUCCGCGCCGCAUUAGAUAGUAGGUAAGGUAACGGCUUACGAAGGGAACGAUGCGUAACCGAACUGAGGGGGUGAUAGGCCACACUGGAACUGAGACACGGUCCAGACUCCUACGGGAGGCAGCAGUAGGGAACGUGCCGCAAAAGGCGAAAGCCUGACGGAGCAACGCCGCGUGAGUGAUGAAGGUCUUCGGAUCGUAAAACUCUGUUAUUAGGGAAGAACAACUGUGUAAGGAAAUAUGCACGUCUUGACGGUAACUAAUCAGAAAGCCACGGCUAACUACGUG
rnacentral:rRNA from 1 species